rnacentral:rRNA from 1 species
GUUACAGCCGCCGCGGUAAUACAGAGGGUGCAAGCGUUGUUCGGAAUUAUUGGGCGUAAAGCGCGUGUAGGCGGCUUUGCAAGUCGGGUGUGAAAGCCCUCGGCUCAACCGAGGAAGUGCGCCCGAAACUGCAGAGCUUGAGUGCCGGAGAGGAUGGCGGAAUUCCCCAAGUAGAGGUGAAAUUCGUAGAUAUGGGGAGGAACACCGGUGGCGGAGGCGGCCAUCUGGACGGCAACUGACGCUGAGACGCGAAAGCGUGGGGAGCAAACAGGAUUAGAUACCCCCGUAGUCC